rnacentral:rRNA from 1 species
AGCAUGUGGUUUAAUUCGAUGAUACGCGAGGAACCUUACCUGGGCUCGAACGUAAGAUGACUGUAGGUGAAAGCUUACAUCUCUUCGGAGCAUUUUACGAGGUGCUGCAUGGUUGUCGUCAGCUCGUGCCGUGAGGUGUCGGGUUAAGUCCCAUAACGAGCGCAACCCCUACCUUUAGUUGCCAUCAGGUAAUGCUGGGGACUCUAAAGGAACUGCCUACGCAAGUAGUGAGGAAGGCGGGGAUGACGUCAAAUCAGCACGGCCCUUACGUCCAGGGCUACACACGUGCUACAAUGGCCGAUACAGAGGGCAGCUACCUGGUGACAGGAUGCAAAUCUCCAAAGUCGGUCUCAGUUCGGAUCGGAGUCUGCAACCCGACUCCGUGAAGUUGGAUUCGCUAGUAAUCGCGCAUCAGCCAUGGCGCGGUGAAUACGUUCCCGGGCCUU